rnacentral:lncRNA from 1 species
GACCUCAGUUGUUAUGAUUUGAUCCAGCAGGGCUUCAGCCAGACCUUCUUGAAAAACAAAAAGUGGAGAAUACCUUAUGCCAUGGCACCAAGUUGUCAAGAAACUGCCUCCCAGAGUGAUCUCUUCCAAGACAGUUCAAUUCACCGCAGGGAACAUAACUGCAGAGGAGGAGAGUGGCAGCUGCUGCCUAUGAAUCCAUGCUGAUCUGGAGGAUGCUUCGUAUCCCAC